AACGCCCGCACGCCUCGCACACACGGCCCCAGCCGUCCCUCAAUUCCCUUCUCCUCCUUGCCCUCGUUUUCUCCUCCCUGGCUAGGUUAUCACCGCCGCCACCUUCGGCACCAUCCCAGCUCGCAGCCUCGGUCGAUUUGCUCUGCGUCUCCAAUCGUCCAAAGAUCCCAACCCUAUCAUCAUCUCCUACCACGAGCUCGGCGACGAGAUCGGACACGGCAAGUUCGGCUCCGUUCGGAUCUAUGAGGUUCGUGCUGAUCGGGCGGGUGGCCCUGGUGAACUACAGCAAGGACUACGGCCGCCUCGUCGUCAUCGUCGACGUUGUUGACCAGAACAGGCUGCAUUGCUCUGUUUACACUUAUACCACUGCUUAUUGGUAUAUCCCCAAGAACGUCGAGGACACGGUCCACCGCGAGGUCGAGAUUGUGCAACACCUCUCGGGCCACCCUGCCGUCGUCACGCUGAAGGCCGUCUGCGGCGGCUGCAAAUCGAAGCAGCUGAAAGGGGCAAGGCGAUUGGGAGUCAGGGACUACAUAUCCCUCCUCUCCUUUAUUUUCUGUCCAAAAUAUAAGGAAGACGUAUGGGUUCUCGUCAAAUGCAAGUUGUACUACUGUGAAAAAGUGUACUAAUUUUUACAGUGCAUUAACUUGAUCAUGGGAUUCUCCAUGAUGGCAACAAAGAGACAGCAUGGGGUGGAGAUGCAGGUCAUCAGUACACUGAAGGCGCUGCGUUCUGUCGGGGUGUUGGGUUCGAUGCAGAGCAUCGGAGACGUUGCCAUUGUCCUUGCACGACUCAUCAGAUCCAACCUCGAGCCCGCGCCAGCUGUGUACGGAGCCCUUGCUACGGUGCUCAGCCUCUGCAACUGCAACUCAAUGUUCUGAAUGGAGUCAGUUGGGGUCGUCUAUAAAUUUGCUUGUGAUGUGCUUGCAAACCAAGACUUUGUUGAGGCUUUUCUGCGGGGUCAGGGGAGACCCAGUGAUCAAGCGGCAGCGGCCUACAGCCUGGGAGACCUGCACAAGGGAGCCGCCAAGAUCUCCAACGACAUCCUCGACUCUGUCGGGGUUUCAGUAUAUGCAACAACAGAAAAUUCGAUAACAGUAUACGCGACAAAUGGUGCUAUUUGCUUUCGCUGCAAUCUCCUCAUACUUACCAGGGUUGAGUGCCCAACAUUCCCGAAGAUGGCACCCGAGACGUGUCCGCAGCCAGAACCAGCGAAGUUGUCGUAUGAGAUUCAGAUCUCUCUUGGAACAAUGAUCUUGGAGAGCAAAGCACAGAGAAGGAAUCCCAUGAUAUGCUCUCUUAUUCUUUUAAUCGGGGCAUCAACAUACUGGACACCGCAGAAAUUGCCGAAGGAGACUCAAGGGAGGACUGAUCUGUAUGUAGGCAGGUGGAUGAAAUACAAGCCACGAGAUAAAGUACCCUAAACCGGCCUUAUAAUUUAUUUGCAGUUUGCUAAUCCAUUUGGAGUUCCCCGAUUUCCACUUCAGAUAUCAUGCUUCUGAAUCCAUUUGUUGUUCCCUGCUCACUAUGUUUCCGACUAGAUAACUUUAGCCACCAAAAUUUCUGGUUAUUCAGACCACAAUUUUCAUCGGUACAAUGCAGAAAGGUGUGUGUUGAUGGUCCCAUUAUAAAGGAAAGUGUCGAAAAGAGCCUUUCAUGCUUAUCUAAAGACUACACUGAUAUUCUUCACAUAAACUGGGUAGUGUUUAUUUCAAAGAUUAUUUUUGCUCAGAAUAAUUUUCACAUCUUGUUCCAGAUUGAUUCAUACACAAUCAUAUUUCACAUUUUGCAUUUCCUUACUGAACUUGAAAAUUGUAAAUCUGAGUUCUCUUUUCCAUCCUCUGUGAGUCCUUUUGUCGUCACUGUUUUCAGCACACAUUCUUAGUAUGGAUCUAUUUUUCCGAAGGAUUUAGUGCAUGUAUUUUGCACACUCUUUAAAAACCAUGUGCAUUUUCGUUGUAAUAAUAGACUAGAUUUAUUCUAGAUUAUAAACAUAUGAUUGUUGUGUUCAUAAAUGCACAUUUGAAUAAUUCACGAGUAUAUGCAUAAGACAGCCGAAGAUAGCAGACAGGUAACCAUAAACCAGUAUAUAAUUCCAUGUUUGUCUCUUCUAAUCUAGGCACAAUAUAUCGGUGUUUCCAAUGAAACCCCGUACGGAGUAAUGCAGUUUGUACAUGCUGCAAAGCUUGAUGGACUUCCAAAGAUUAUGAGCAUCUAGAAUGGUUAUAGUCAACUUGUGAGAUGCAUCUUCGAAGGUGAAACAGAGAUGUCAGCCAUAAUUUAUUCAUUUUCAUUCAAUGGAACUCCAUGCCAUCCCUGUUGUUCUGAAACUUAUUUGCAGACAUGUAAUUUAGAGAAAGAGGGAGGAAAGAACUCCUCGGUUGUAGUUCAGAUCAUCGGCCUGCUGUGAUCUCUUUCAUAAUUAAAUUUUUAGUCGAAUAGUCUUGGCUUCUUAUUAGGUCUUUGGAGUUAUGUUCAGUGGUUAUCAUUCAUCAUCAUCAUCAUGCGAUGAUUUCAUUUUGUGGAUGCUUGAGUUUAGAAAAUUUAGGCUCUGCAGUCCAUCAUCUCUAUAUUUAUAAGUCUUUGUAGGAUGUAAGACUGCUACUCUAUGUUCAUAUAAGCUUACCUAUUAAUAAUAUUUCUGAUUUAUUUUAUAAA